rnacentral:rRNA from 1 species
GACGAACCGUGCGAACGUUGUUCGGAUUCACUGGGCUUAAAGGGCGCGUAGGCGGAUGGUCAAGUCGGGGGUGAAAUUUUUCGGCUCAACCGGAAAAGUGCCUUCGAUACUGAUCAUCUCGAGGGAGGUAGGGGCAUGUGGAACUUCCGGUGGAGCGGUGAAAUGCGUAGAUAUCGGAAGGAACGCCGGUGGCGAAAGCGACGUGCUGGACCUCUUCUGGACGCUGAGGCGCGAAAGCCAGGGGAGCAAACGGG